GACGAACGCUGGCGGCGUGCCUAACACAUGCAAGUCGAACGGAGAUACGAUUUCGGUUGUAUCUUAGUGGCGAACGGGUGAGUAACGCGUGAACAACCUGACUCUAAGAGGGGGAUAACACGCGGAAACGGGUGCUAAUACCGCAUAAGACCACGACCCGGCAUCGGGAUGAGGUCAAAGGAGCAAUCCGCUGAGAGAGGGAUUCGCGUCCCAUUAAAUAGAUGGCGGGGCAACGGCCCACCAUGUCAACGAUGGGUAGCCGAGCUGGGAGGCUGAUCUGCCACACUGGAACUGAGACACGGUCCAGACUCCUACGGGAGGCAGCAGUGGGGAAUAUUGGACAAUGGGCGCAAGCCUGAUCCAGCCAUACCGCGUGGGUGAAGAAGGCCUUCGGGUUGUAAAGCCCUUUUGUUGGGAAAGAAAUCCAGCUGGUUAAUACCCGGUUGGGAUGACGGUACCCAAAGAAUAAGCACCGGCUAAC
rnacentral:rRNA from 1 species